rnacentral:rRNA from 1 species
ACUACGGUGCUGAAGCAACAAAUGCCCUGCUUCCAGGAAAAGCCUCUAAGCAUCAGGUAACAUCAAAUCGUACCCCAAACCGACACAGGUGGUCAGGUAGAGAAUACCAAGGCGCUUGAGAGAACUCGGGUGAAGGAACUAGGCAAAAUGGUGCCGUAACUUCGGGAGAAGGCACGCUGAUAUGUAGGUGAAGUCCCUCGCGGAUGGAGCUGAAAUCAGUCGAAGAUACCAGCUGGCUGCAACUGUUUAUUAAAAACACAGCACUGUGCAAACACGAAAGUGGACGUAUACGGUGUGACGCCUGCCCGGUGCCGGAAGGUUAAUUGAUGGGGUCAGCGCAAGCGAAGCUCUUGAUCGAAGCCCCGGUAAACGGCGGCCGUAACUAUAACGGUCCUAAGGUAGCGAAAUUCCUUGUCGGGUAAGUUCCGACCUGCACGAAUGGCGUAAUGAUGGCCAGGCUGUCUCCACCCGAGACUCAGUGAAAUUGAACUCGCUGUGAAGAUGCAGUGUACCCGCGGCAAGACGGAAAGACCCCGUGAACCUUUACUAUAGCUUGACACUGAACAUUGAGCCUUGAUGUGUAGGAUAGGUGGGAGGCUUUGAAGUGUGGACGCCAGUCUGCAUGGAGCCGACCUUGAAAUACCACCCUUUAAUGUUUGAUGUUCUAACGUGGACCCGUAAUCCGGGUUGCGGACAGUGUCUGGUGGGUAGUUUGACUGGGGCGGUCUCCUCCUAAAGAGUAACGGAGGAGCACGAAGGUUGGCUAAUCCUGGUCGGACAUCAGGAGGUUAGUGCAAUGGCAUAAGCCAGCUUGACUGCGAGCGUGACGGCGCGAGCAGGUGCGAAAGCAGGUCAUAGUGAUCCGGUGGUUCUGAAUGGAAGGGCCAUCGCUCAACGGAUAAAAGGUACUCCGGGGAUAACAGGCUGAUACCGCCCAAGAGUUCAUAUCGACGGCGGUGUUUGGCACCUCGAUGUCGGCUCAUCACAUCCUGGGGCUGAAGUAGGUCCCAAGGGUAUGGCUGUUCGCCAUUUAAAGUGGUACGCGAGCUGGGUUUAGAACGUCGUGAGACAGUUCGGUCCCUAUCUGCCGUGGGCGCUGGAGAACUGAGGGGGGCUGCUCCUAGUACGAGAGGACCGGAGUGGACGCAUCACUGGUGUUCGGGUUGUCAUGCCAAUGGCACUGCCCGGUAGCUAAAUGCGGAAGAGAUAAGUGCUGAAAGCAUCUAAGCACGAAACUUGCCCCGAGAUGAGUUCUCCCUGACUCCUUGAGAGUCCUGAAGGAACGUUGAAGACGACGACGUUGAUAGGCCGGGUGUGUAAGCGCAGCGAUGCGUUGAGCUAACCGGUACUAAUGAACCGUGAGGCUUAACCUU